rnacentral:misc_RNA from 1 species
GUUGUUGUGAGGCCGACUGCCGGUGCCUGUGUCCCUUAAAUCGUUGGCUUAUUGUGGGCUUASYGUAUCGACGAGUGCUUGCGUGCUGCUACCAGGGACACUGGAAGUUGCAUUGCUAAAUGUUUGGUUUUGUCGUGCUUGCCCUUGGGGCAUGUCACGUCAACUAUAAAGCGUCCAUGGAGUUGCCUCGUGUUGUUGGCCGUAUAGGCUAGCAGCAUCAAUGCAACCUUGUGGUCGCUGUUGGUAUUGGAUGUGGCUGACUUUGAAGGUUGAAGGUGCUUUGGUACCCCAUGCCGACAAUAGUCCGAUUGGAAACAACGACAGUUGGCCUGGCUGAUGCCUUGUGCGGAAGCUAGUGCU